UGUUGUUAGGAUUUCAGUAGUCUAUAUAUCCUGCAAAAAACACUUAUCAGGCAUGAAGGAUUAGUGGCUUAUGUGAAGGCACUGACAGAUAAGAGAUUGCAUUUAAAUGCAGGUAUGUAUAGGACGUUUGUCAAUGUGAUGGCCUUGUUAAGAGUAAUAGUCCCUGCAUGUGUGACUUUAAUAGAAGUAGCAUUUGACAGAUGGACAGGUUUGGGAGAUGCUAUUGGCUUAACAGAAUCAAAAAGCUUUAGAUCACACAUAUGGUUGGUUGCUCUAGUGUCUACAAUCCAAACUCCUCUACUUGCAUCAAUUAAAUUCAAGUUAGAUGACUGACUUGCAAAUUCAAU
rnacentral:lncRNA from 1 species